GUCACACCAAUCCGUAGAUAAUUAAUAACAGGAGUAAUAGCUUGUGCACUUGUAAACAAAAUAAUGUGUUUAUGUUAAUAUGUUGAUUCUGCUUGUAGAUUUUCUUUCAUGAUAUCAUGAAGCCUGGCUGAAGGAACUCAGAUAUAAAAAAUAAAUUGGAAGUAUGCCAAAAUAUUUUAGAACACCAUUGUAAUCUUGCAUGUGUCAUCAUACAUAUGUAUCGGUGUUCCUUUGAAGUGGCAACUUGGACUGUGAUUGUUGCUUUUACCUUUUUUACCUGAUAGCCACCAUUGUUGUUCUUCUGCUGCUUUUAUGAAUGCGUGAAAUAAUUAAUGAGUUCCUUGGACUCUACUUUGUAAGCAUAUGCUCAUAGGG
rnacentral:misc_RNA from 1 species